GAUGAACGCUGGCGGCGUGCCUAAUACAUGCAAGUCGAGCGAACAGAUGAGGAGCUUGCUCCUCUGACGUUAGCGGCGGACGGGUGAGUAACACGUGGAUAACCUACCUAUAAGACUGGGAUAACUUCGGGAAACCGGAGCUAAUACCGGAUAAUAUAUUGAACCGCAUGGUUCAAUAGUGAAAGACGGUUUUGCUGUCACUCAUAGAUGGAUCCGCGCCGCAUUAGCUAGUUGGUAAGGUAACGGCUUACCAAGGCAACGAUGCGUAGCCGACCUGAGAGGGUGAUCGGCCACACUGGAACUGAGACACGGUCCAGACUCCUACGGGAGGCAGCAGUAGGGAAUCUUCCGCAAUGGGCGAAAGCCUGACGGAGCAACGCCGCGUGAGUGAUGAAGGUCUUCGGAUCGUAAAACUCUGUUAUUAGGGAAGAACAAAUGUGUAAGUAACUAUGCACGUCUUGGCGGUACCUAAUCAGAAAGCCACGGCUAACUACGUG
rnacentral:rRNA from 1 species